rnacentral:RNase_P_RNA from 1 species
UGAGUAAGCCAGAUAGUCGCGGAUACAGUGUCGAAAGACCGUAUACGAGGAAAGUCCGGGCUCCAUAGGGCAGGGUGCCGGGUAACUCCCGGUGAAGGCGACUUCAAGGAUAGUGCAACAGAGAUAUACCGCCUGCUGGGGGUUGGAAGUGGGAGGUUACAAAUUAGAAGUUUGAUAUUAGAGAUUUGAAUUAUUUUCGACUUCUCACUUCCAAUCUCCAGCACGGUAAGGGUGGAAAGGUGAGGUAAGAGCUCACCAGCGGCAUGGCGACUUGCCGGCUAUGUAAACCCCACUUGGAGCAACACCGCAAAGAGGGACAUUAUGGUUGCCCGCCAGUCCCGGGUAGGUGGCUUGAGCUGUAUAGAAAUAUAUGGCCUAGAUAGAUGACUAUCAAAUACAGAACCCGGCUUAUAGACUUACUCAUUAA